AACGUAGGAACCGAGCGUUAUCCGAAUUUACUGGGCGUAAAGCGCGUGUAGGUGGCUCGAUAAGUUGGGUGUGAAAGCUCCUGGCUCAACUAGGAGAGGCCGCUCAAAACUGUCGGGCUUGAGAACGGUAGAGGGAGGUGGAAUUCCCGGUGUAGUGGUGAAAUGCGUAGAUAUCGGGAGGAACACCAGUGGCGAAGGCGGCCUCCUGGACCGUUUCUGACACUGAGACGCGAAAGCUAGGGGAGCGAACGGG
rnacentral:rRNA from 1 species